GGAUUCAACGCCGGAAAGUCUUACCGGGACCGACAGCAAUAUGAAGGCCAGGCUGAAGACUUUGCCGGAUUAGCUGAGAGGUGGUGCAUGGCCGUCGUCAGUUCGUACUGUGAAGCAUCCUGUUAAGUCAGGCAACGAGCGAGACCCACGCCCACAGUUGCCAGCGUACUCUCUGGAGUGACGGGGACACUGUUGGGACCGCCUCUGCUAAAGAGGAGGAAGGAAUGGGGCAACGGUAGGUCAGCAUGCCCCGAAUUAUCUGGGCUACACGCGGGCUACAAUGGGUGGGACAAUGGGUAUCGACACCGAAAGGUGAAGGCAAUCUCCUAAACCCAUCCGUAGUUCGGAUUGUGGGCUGCAACUCGCCCACAUGAAGCUGGAAUCUGUAGUAAUCGUGUCUCAAAAUGGCACGGUGAAUAUGUCCCUGCUCCUU
rnacentral:rRNA from 1 species